CACAGUGCAGUGAUUAAAGCAGGGAUCUUCCCAACCCAGGGACUGAACCUGCAACUCCUACAUUGAAGGCAGAUUCUUCAUUGUUGGAACCACCAGGAAAACCCAACUUUAAAUGAUGGCUGGUUAGAAGACAAGAUCACCUGACCAGUUCACCCUCCAGACAUGAACUGAAUCAUAACCAGAAUAUUUGACACGUGUGGAUUUUGAGGAAGGGGGCGUGUUUCCAGUUAAGUGUUUUGGGGUAACUGAUCUGAUGCCCGUCGUAUGAAGAGAACGACAUGGUGAGCACAUAGGUGUCCACGGCACCCACCCAAGGCACUUGGAUAGGUA
ensembl:lncRNA